GACGAACGCUGGCGGCGUGCCUAAUACAUGCAAGUAGAACGCUGAAGAGAGGAGCUUGCUCUUCUUGGAUGAGUUGCGAACGGGUGAGUAACGCGUAGGUAACCUGCCUUUUAGCGGGGGAUAACUAUUGGAAACGAUAGCUAAUACCGCAUAACAAUGGAUGACACAUGUCAUUUAUUUGAAAGGGGCAAUUGCUCCACUACAAGAUGGACCUGCGUUGUAUUAGCUAGUUGGUGAGGUAAUGGCUCACCAAGGCGACGAUACAUAGCCGACCUGAGAGGGUGAUGGGCCACACUGGAACUGAGACACGGUACAGACUCCGACGGGAGGCAGCGGUAGGGAAUGUUCCGAAAUGGGCGAAAGCCUGACGGAGCAACGCCGCGUGAGUGAUGAAGGUCUUCGGAUCGUAAAACUCUGUUAUUAGGGAAGAACAAAUGUGUAAGUAACUAUGCACGUCUUGACGGUACCUAAUCAGAAAGCCACGGCUAACUACGUG
rnacentral:rRNA from 1 species